CAUGAUUUUGGCAAGCAAUGUUAUGGAAACACUAGGUUUCCCCACAAUGUUGUUCUAGUAUUCCUUCUCUAGCUUCCUGGGUGUUGAAAUGCAAUGCUGGCAAUUGUCAUUUCUUGAUAUGACAUCCUAUUCCUUGUAUUGAAUCUUCAGGUGACUAUUCUCCAUCUUCUUGGGUGUCCAGAGAGUGUUGGAGUGGCUCCAGCAUAGCUACAAGGGCAGGCUCGGAGGUGGUAUCUGCCCCCAAAAAUCAUUUCUGUGUUGCAUGAGCAUCAUUUGAGAAGACCUGCUGCAUCAUCCCUAUCAAUAAGGCUGUAAGCACCUGAUUUCCUGUAUCAUGUCUUUUCUAGCUUAAAAUAUAGUGCUUUUUCCUUCUCAGAAUCUUGACUAAAAAAACAGAAAGGAAAGGUGAGAAAAAGAAAAAAAUGGAAUAAAGAUGUCUAUGUCACAACAGGAAUUUUGCCUUGAGAAAAAGCCCUGGUGAGAGCAAUACAACUUUGCUGAUCUGUCUCUUUCCUUCCAUGGGCUUUCCUCUUCUGGGUCCUGUUUAUCGGCCACCCUCAAUUUUAAUUGCACAGUUGAAGGAUGUUUCUGGAGACUGUUAUUCUUGGGACCACAGUUGCUGACUUCUGUGGCACAAGCUCUUCUUCCCCACUUGAAAAUUAGAAUUGCUGGAACCAGUGUCAUUAUCCCAGCAUGCUCCAUCAUCACCAAGUCAUCAGCCAUACUAGCUCUUACACCCAAGCUACUGAGCGCUGUUGAAGAUACUCACACAAGCUUGCAAAAUGGUAUAAAUAAAAAUGAGCAGAAACUAACUUGGCUAUUCUCAGCAAUGUACAGAAAACUUCUGUUAAAUAAUUCACCAUAUAUCUCGACUCACAUAUCUCAUAAACACCCAAAACUGCCUGUGCCAAACUCAGCUAAUUAACUUCUCACCUAAAUAUCCCCAACCCCUUCCUGUGUAUCUUUUUUUUUUUUUUUUUUUUUUUUUUGGCUGAGUCUCGCUCUGUCUCCCAGACUGGAGUGCAGUGGCGCGAUCUCGGCUCACUGCGAGCUCUGCUUCCUGGGUUCACACCAUUCACCUGCCACAGCCUCCCAAGUAGCUGGGACUACAGGCACCUGCCACCACGCCUGGCUAAUUUUUUUUUUUUUGUAUUUUUAGUAGAGACGGGUUUUCACCGUGUUAGCCAGGAUGGUCUCGAUCUCCUGACCUCGUGAUCUGCCCAGUCGGCCUCCCAAAGUGCUGGGAUUACAGGCGUGAGCCACCGCACCUGGCCACUCUUGCGUAUCUUAAGAUGACACACCAUCCAUCAGAAACGUCUCCAUUUAUUGAAGCUCAGAUACCAUUGCUUCAAGGUGCGAGCUGGUAUAACUGAAAGCAAAGAAGACAUUGCUAAGUUGAACAUUUUAACUAGUUUUAAAAAAAUUGUUAAAACAGCAUUGCAGAAACAAUAGUCUGGUAAGCAAGGCUUUCAUUUGCAAGAACUUUACAAGAGAAAAAGGAUAUGCAUGACUUAAAUAGCCCAAACUUGAAGUACAGAGUCUUUAGUAUAAGCCAGUACUUCUGAAGGUAUACUCUGUGGACCUCUGGAUACUGGCAUCAAAUGCCCUCGUAGUCAUUGUAUUCUUCAUCACCAAGGAAUUACGUUUUUUUUAAAAAAAUAGCUUCAGAAUGUCCUUGCUGAAGCAGUAAAAAAUUAAUUUUAUUAAAUUUUGAUCCUUGAGCGCACAUAUUUUUCAAUAUUCUGCGUGGUGAAAUGGGAAAUAUAUAGAGAGCACUUCUGCUAUGUACAAAAGUUCCGUAGUUGAACAACUGUAUGGCAAUAAACUAGGUAACUUAGAUAAAAUGAAAAAUUUCUAGAAAGACCCAAACUACCUGAACUGAUUCAAGAAAGACCAAAAAAUCCGAAUAGACUUAUAACAUGUAAAGCGAUUCAAAUUGUAAUACCAACAUUCCCAUGAAGGAAAGCCCAGGACCAGGUGACUUCACUGGUAAAUGCUGUCAAAU
ensembl:lncRNA novel transcript